rnacentral:rRNA from 1 species
CUCAGAUUGAACGCUGGCGGCAGGCCUAACACAUGCAAGUCGAGCGGUAGAGAGAAGCUUGCUUCUCUUGAGAGCGGCGGACGGGUGAGUAAUGCCUAGGAAUCUGCCUGGUAGUGGGGGAUAACGUUCGGAAACGGACGCUAAUACCGCAUACGUCCUACGGGAGAAAGCAGGGGACCUUCGGGCCUUGCGCUAUCAGAUGAGCCUAGGUCGGAUUAGCUAGUUGGUGAGGUAAUGGCUCACCAAGGCGACGAUCCGUAACUGGUCUGAGAGGAUGAUCAGUCACACUGGAACUGAGACACGGUCCAGACUCCUACGGGAGGCAGCAGUGGGGAAUAUUGGACAAUGGGCGAAAGCCUGAUCCAGCCAUGCCGCGUGUGUGAAGAAGGUCUUCGGAUUGUAAAACAGUUAAGUUGGGAGGAAGGGUUGUAGAUUAAUCUUGCAAUUUGCGUCCCAACCC